GAAAUUAUUUUCAAAAUAUUAUAUGUGUAAUAUUACAGAAUAUAUGAUAUGUACAAAAUUACCUAAAUUGCUCUUGAAGUAAAAUUACAGCUAGCUUUAAGUGUAUUGGCAUCUUAUUUGUGAAUGAGGUGGAUAAACACUCCUUAAAAAUAUUUUAAAAUCAUAACCCUCAGGCUGUUUCACUGAGAUUUUUCUUGAAACGCCUAUAGGGUAAAUAAUCAGCUAAAUGAGGUAGGUUAUAAAUAUAAUGUUACAAUGCUUGUAGUUCUAAUAAUUUGUUGAACUAUUAUGACAACAGGAUAUUGUGGUCAUUUAUUUAUUUAUUUAUUUAUUUAUUUCUAUAGGUCAGUUUUGAGGUGUUUGCCAAUAAGACAGAGACCAUACAGUACAGUAUUCCACUCAAGUGUGUAUGGAAUAUGAUCCGUAGUGUUUGCUGCUGUGAUUCAUCAGGACAAGGCCUCGAUGCCAUCCACACCUGGUACAUGAAGAUGGAAGAAACAGGAAAACAAAUCUUCUAUUCAGCACAUCCCUGAAAGGCUUCCCUAUAAUGAUUCAAGAUUUCCACCAUUGUAUUUAUCCACAUAAGGGUUUCUGGGAUCCCCAGUUGAAGACAUCAGGACAUCAGACGUCGGUCUGGACAGAUGGAUGGCUAAGAUGACGACUUGCAUGGAUGGCUGACUACUAUAAUGUUCUAUGAAGGUAUUAUUAUAGCAAAACUGAGCACCUGUGACAGUGGUAUUUGUAUUGUAAAGAAUAAUCACACAUGCAUAUCAGUAAAUCUAAAUUGUUUUAGGUGUUGCAAAUGUUCUCUCUUUCUCUCUCUGUGUGUCUCUCUCACACACACACACACACACACACACAACAGUUACAUCUUUUCAAAUUCUUUAUUGGAUGUGCACAAAACCUAUUCUACAAAUCAGAAAUUAGAAAGCUCAAAUGUUCAUAUUUAGUCUACGGUUGCUACAGUGAAUGUGGCACAACCAGUGUUGGGGGUAACACAUUACUAGGUACAUAAUAACUUGAGUUAUGUAAUCAGAUUACUUUUUUUCAAGUAACUAGUAAGGUAACAUUUUUCAAAUUAGUAACACAAGUAACUUUGUUUUCCCAUUUAUUCGUGACAUCUUUCCUGUCCCCAUGUUGAGAGAAAUUAGGAGGGAGAUGCAGAGGAACUUCCUUCAGCCUGAGGCAGACAAAAAAGUAACACAAUACUUUUUUGUCUGCCUCAAAACACAAUAUUGUAAUGCAUUAGAUUAAAAGUAACUAAAUAUGGUUUCAGCAAGAAAUGUACAAUAACUAAAUAUUUAUUUAUGAAUUCUACUAUUUAACAUUUCAAUAUUCUAGGUUGCAUUAGAGAGAUAUAAUUAAUUUUUAUGGAUGUUUCAUUACAAACUUCAGAGGUUUUUCUUUAUUCUGAGGUACUGAGUUGUACCUGUCCAUGAUCAUAUUUACAAUAUCACAUUUAAUACAAAUGCAGUCUGUUAAUAUGUUCAAUUCUAAUAAUAUAAUAUAAUAUAAUAUAAUAUAAUAUAAUAUAAUAUAAUAGCAUUUAAAAUUUAGUUAUGUUUUGUUAUUUAUUUAUUUAUUUAUUCAAUUUCAAAGCUUUUAUGUGUGGGCCAGAUGGACUAAGCUUUUUUUCUUUAAUACUCAUGGAGAAUAGCUGAACGGGUUAGAUGAUUUACAAAAUCAUACACAAAGAAAUGUGAAUGAUUGCAACAUUUUACUGAUCUCUACAAAAUUCUGAGCUUACAAAUUCUAGAAUAGGAUUUGUGCACUUAUAAAGAAUAUGUUGAGAAGGUAUAACUGUUGUGAUGUUACGGGUACUCAGUUUUGCUACAAUAAUACCAGAUAAAAUAUGUACUGUAUACAACAAAGCAGUGUUGGGGAGUAACUAGUUACAUGGAGGUAUGUAAUUUAAUUACAAAUUUAGGACACAGAAUAGGACACAUGCAUAUUCAAUAAAUGUUUUAUUUCCCAAUUCGGUUUAUAUACUUGAUUUUUUUUUUUUUUUUUUUUUUUUUUAAGAUUUUUAAAGUUUUUUUUCCAAGGCAUCAUUAGAUCCAAAGCUAUGCAAAGAUUUUAAUUUCAAAAACAGCAUCAUGACUAUUAAACUAUUUAUUGUCAUUAUGUAAUCUUUAUUUGACCUCAGAAUGAUACUAAGGUAAAAGAGGUGCAAAAUGAUUAACAGUUGAAAACGUUAGAAACUACAGUAGAAUCUAGAGUUACUUUAGAGUAAUCUAUAAUCUGUAACCGAUUACAUUUCCAAAGUAUCCUGCCCAACACUGCAACAAAGGGACAAAAAAGUGAAUAUUCAGGGAUGCAAACUUGUCACCUUUAAGUGAAAAUCGCUGUUCUAAUUCCAAAAUAGAAAAAUCAGUGUGAUUUGUGUAGAUUGAAAUGAGUUUUUAAAAUUGUGAGUAAGUGAGUAGUAAGUAAUGGAUCUGCAAUCGUUUGCAGAGCUCCUGCGCAUAUAUUUGUGUGCACGCUCUGAUUUGUUUACAGCGUGUUUUGCAGCAUUGACUUGGCUACUGUAACAUCAUGUCAUAGAAAAUAUUUGUUAAUCAGAGGUGUUUCAGUUGAUUAGAAAACACGCAAUAUUACUGGUUUCUACAUGCUUGCAAAUCCUUUCAUAACAAAGCGUAGACACGAUGUAAAUAAGAGAUUCAUUGUGUAUUAUCAGAUUUAUUUAUUAUUACAGGAGUUUCACAGAAUGAGCUCACUUCCUAAAUUGCUAUGAUUGACAUUAGUUUUGCAGUGUAAAUUCAGACUAAUAGACCCGCAAUAGCAAAUAAGAAAACUAAUCAUUUAGUUUUUAGCGUCAACAUUUACAUAAAGUACUUUUCCAUAUGUCCAUUUUAAUCUUCUAAAAUAUAUGUAAUAUUCCCAAGCUUUGAGAAAAGUAAUCUUUAAAUGUUAUAAUCGUGAUUUUAUAAGGUAUAGUUAUUAUACAUCUGAAAACAAAACAUGUAGAGAUUUUGCCAUCCACUGGCUAUAGUGGUAAUUUCAGGUAAUUUUCAUUCAAGCGUUUGUUUUCCACCAAAUCCUCAACUAAAUAGCACAUGGCAAAUUGAUGAGUAAAUAUAAGAAAUGUAAAUGUUACAUUUUAUUUCCAUUUUAUAUAAAAAUUUACAACAUAAGCAAAAUAACUGAGGCAAAUAAAUAAAAACAUCCUUCCAAACGGCAUACCUUUAGAGGAAAUGUAAUAUUGGAGUGAUAUUACAAUUAUUAAAGUAAUUAAAAUUUAAUUUUGUAGUCUAUGGCUAUUUGAAAUUGUGGUUUACACCUUUUUUCACUUUCGCCUGAUUUGUUCACAUCCCUGAAAAUACAAAGAUUAUUUUAAUUUUUACGGUGACCUGAGGGGACAUGUUCGGUUCACUUAAUUUUGUCGUGGCCACAACAUAUUAACUCAUACUGUGUCAUACUAUGUCGUGGCCACGAGAUCAUUUUGUCGAGAUAACGACAUCCUUAUGUGGUGGCCUCGAGAUGCUGUGUUGAGGGAACGACAUUUUUCUCGUGGGCACGAGUUUA